GGGGCGAGGCCUGCGGGGCCUUGCGGGGCCUGCGAGGCGAGGUCGGGCUGUUUCGCUGCCCCCUGAGCUCCCCGGGAACCGCGGUCGUGAUCCUGGGCGGCUGGAGGCUCUGGGAGUGUCCGAGCUGGCUGGGGAUGUCAGCCCAACUUCUCUGCAGUGCCCCUGGGAGUCUGCAGGAGGCAACGUGCUCCUGUUGCAUCGACCUGGAGUCAACCGCUGUGGCUCAGCCCUGGCUCUUUGGAGGGAUGGAAACUUGAGGAGUGUGCUGAUGAAGCCACAGAUGAACACCUCCAGGAGCUGGUGCCUGCUGGUCUUCAAGCUGCUUUUUGCUCUUCGUUUCUCUUUCUUCUGGAGGGUUCAUCCUUCAUCUCCUGGAGACCAUUCCUUGUUCUCCUUUGAGUCUGCUGGAUCAAUGAGGCACCAAGGGGAACCCCUCGAGAUGUGAUGUGUGAGACCAGAGAAGGCAGCAUCAAUUGUCACCUCCAUGUUCAUUAGACCUCCCUUGGAAGUCAGUUACCACUGGGCAGCUCUGUCCUGUUUCUGGCAGCACCGGGACGACGGGAUGUGAAGGGAGAUGGAGGGUGGAACAUGCUGCUGUGGGGUGUUGUGCCCCCUCCUCCUGGUGCAGGUGGAGCUGAUACGGUGCUGCCAGGUAUGUUUUGGGACCCUCUGGCCUUUGCUGUGUGUCCAGCUCUUGCUCCCAGGGGAUGGCAGGGCCAUGCAGGACCUGGGAGCAGCCCUGGCACUUGGAUCCUUAUCACUUGGAGCUUCAGUAUGACCGGCCUUGACACAAGAAGAGCUGUUACCUUCACACCGAACCUCCCAGGUACAUGCAAACCUUUAUGAGCUGGAGCUGGGAGGCUAGAGCAGGCAGCUAACCCGGACCAGGAGCUGCAGUGUCAGCAAGCUGGGAAUAAACCAGGAAAGGGCUAUCAGAGCUGCUGGGCCCUGCACAGGGCCUGCCUGGGCUGAGCUCUCUGGGGCAUUGGACACACAAGCCCAGCCAGCUCUAACUCCCCUUCGGGCUGUUAAUGCAAACCAGCAAGGCAUGAGUGAUACGUUUUAGUUUAGCUAAAGAAGCCUUCAGAGUGAUCCUGAAUAAGUAUUAAAAGGCCUUUUAAUAUAUUUUUUUUUCCUUUGCAAACACAAGGAAAAUUCAAACCAGCUGGCAGGGCUGGUGGUUUAGAGCCAAUUGCAGCAGCCUCUGAGAUUUCCCUUGAGUGCUGUGGCUGCCUGGGGGGAGAGGCUGGGAUGAGCCAGGUAAUUUGGGCUGUGUCCUGGUGGUGUUGCAAGUAGGGGGGGCUGGUGGGAGCUCUGCUGUCCCCUGCCUUGUGCUGAAGCCCUGUGUGAUGUGCCCCAAGCAUUGUGCUGGGUGUUUUACCUGCCUGGGGUGAGGAUGAGUUCCUGCCCAAACAGGAGAGGCAGGGCAACAGAGCUGAAGAAAGCAGGAGAGAUGCUGGAAAGACUCUUUUUACCACAGAUCCUGCCAGCAGCAGGAUACAUCCCUGGGCCUUGCUCACCUCGCCUGGAUGCCCCAGCAUCUUUGCUCUGCUCUGCCAUCCCUCUGCUCCAGCAGACCCAAACCCUCCAUCUCUCUUCCUAGUCCUGAGAAAAGCCACUUUGAUAUCCUGGCUUGAGGACCUUCUGUUACUUCCCAGCCCUGCUUUGGAGCUCCUUUCCUGGCUGUUUAACCCAGGAUACUUUAGGCAUUGUUCCCACAUCUGCCCUGGCCAAGGGAGCUGAGAGCCCAGCCCUGCCUGGCCCUGGUUCCAGCCACUUGGUCCUUACCUGUUUUCUUUACACUUGAUUCUCCCCAUCGGCAGCUCACGGUGAGACGUGUCUCACUAAGCCCAAAGUACAAUUUUUUUCCCCAAGUGCAAGUUCCAUCCAGAGUAAUUGCUGCUUUAUUGCAGCUCUUGUAUUACGCAAAAUAAUAGAACUCCAUUAAUUAGGCACAAAGCGAGAGCAGUGGAGGCUGGAGAGAGGAUGCCCAUUGAACAACUGUCAUACCCUGUGUAGGAUGCCAUGUUUUGCUGCCACCAGCACUGCCCACAGGAGGGGUCAGCUUUCCACAACCCUCCUGUGGGGCUCUCCUGGUGCUUCUGCCUGGCGUGGAGCUGCACGCCCAGACAAGGGCACGUCCCCGCCACGUGUGCCAGAGCCCAUCUCCACACGCCUGGAGUGCCCAUGAUAGAAUUGUGCCCAAACAUUUUGCUUAAGCCCUUUGCUCUCCCCUCCCUGCUAGCAUCUCAGCUCUGUGGUAUCCCUGGAAAAUGCCUGCUGUUGCUGUAGGACAGGCUCUCCUGCCUGCUCCGCCAGGCGCCGGUUGGUUCAAAUUAACUUUGCAAAGAAACUCUCUGUCGCUUUUUCUUCUUACUCCAACAACCUCCGGGCUGCUCAGCGCCUGUGUGGCCUGUCCCCCUCUGCGCCUCGGGGACAGACGUAAUGAAAAUCAUUCCGGGUUGAAAAUCACAGCCUGGGAGACUGAAUUUCUCCUCUUCUCACCAGGAACCCGGCUGGAGAGCCCAGGAGGCUGAGCGGAGGAAACUGGUUUUGGCGGGGAUGGGGGG